UACAGAGGUCUCAAGCGUUGUUCGGAUUCAUUGGGCGUAAAGGGUGCGUAGGCGGCGCGGUAAGUCGGGUGUGAAAUCUCGGAGCUUAACUCCGAAACUGCAUUCGAUACUGCCGUGCUUGAGGACUGGAGAGGAGACUGGAAUUUACGGUGUAGCGGUGAAAUGCGUAGAGAUCGGAAGGAACACCAGUGGCGAAGGCGGCUACCUGGACAAAUACUGACGCUGAGGCGCGAGAGCGUGGGGAGCAAACAGG
rnacentral:rRNA from 1 species